rnacentral:rRNA from 1 species
GAUGAACGCUGGCGGCGUGCCUAAUACAUGCAAGUCGAGCGAACAGAUGAGGAGCUUGCUCCUCUGACGUUAGCGGCGGACGGGUGAGUAACACGUGGAUAACCUACCUAUAAGACUGGGAUAACUUCGGGAAACCGGAGCUAAUACCGGAUAAUAUAUUGAACCGCAUGGUUCAAUAGUGAAAGACGGUUUUGCUGUCACUUAUAGAUGGAUCCGCGCCGCAUUAGCUAGUUGGUAAGGUAACGGCUUACCAAGGCAACGAUGCGUAGCCGACCUGAGAGGGUGAUCGGCCACACUGGAACUGAGACACGGUCCAGACUCCUACGGGAGGCAGCAGUAGGUAAUCUUCCGCAAUGGGCGAAAGCCUGACGGAGCAACGCCGCGUGAGUGAUGAAGGUCUUCGGAUCGUAAAACUCUGUUAUUAGGGAAGAACAAAUGUGUAAGUAACUAUGCACGUCUUGACGGUACCUAAGCAGAAAGCCACGGCUAACUACGG